GGCCAGUCUUGUAUUUGUGCAUCUGCCGAUAUAGGAUUUGGUCAUCUGUAGGAGAACCCAGUUCGAUCUUGACUGGUCGGCUGGAGGAACCUACAAUUUACUGUGAAAAAAUUAGAGUGUUUCAGGCAGGCUUUCGCUUGGAUACUCCAGCAUGGAAUAAUGGAAUAGGACUUUGAUCUAUUCAUUGGUUUGAGAUCAAAGUA
rnacentral:rRNA from 1 species